rnacentral:rRNA from 1 species
ACAUCGGAGGGUGUGUGUGGCACCUUGAUGUUGGGUCAUCACAUGCUGGUGCUGAAGUGGGUUCAAAGGGGAGGGCCGGUCGCCAUUUAAAGUGGUACGCGAGCUGGGUUGAGAACGUCGUGAGACAGUUCGGUCACUAUCUGCCGUGGGCGCUGGAGAACUGAGGGGGGCUUCUCCUAGUACGAGAGGACCGGAGWGGAMGCAUCACUGGUGUUCGGGUUGUCAUGCCAAUGGCACUGCCCGGUAGCUAAAUGCGGAAGAGAUAAGUGCUGAAAGCAUCUAAGCACGAAACUUGCCCCGAGAUGAGUUCUCCCUGAGACUUAGAGUCUCCUGAAGGAACGUUGAAGACGACGACGUUGAUAGGCCGGGUGUGUAAGCGCAGCGAUGCGUUGAGCUAACCGGUACUAAUGAACCGUGAGGCUUAACCUUACAACGCCGAAGCUGUU